rnacentral:misc_RNA from 1 species
AACGCAUAUUGCGCUCUCUGGUAUUCCGGAGAGCAUGCUUGUUUGAGUAUCAGUAAACACCUCAACUCCCUUUCUUCUUGAAAUGGAGCUGGACUUGAGUGAUCCCAACGCUUUAUUCAUAAAGUGGCGGGUUACUUGAAAUGCAGGUGCAGCUGGACUUUUCUCUGAGCUAUAAGCAUAUCUAUUUAGUCUGCCUCAAAACAGAUUAUUACCUUUGCUGCAGCUAACAUAAAGGAGAUUAGUUCUUGUGCUGACUGAUGCAGGAUUCACAAAGACCGCUUCGGCUGUCUUUGUAAACUCGAUCUCAAAUCAAGUAAGACUACCCGCUGAACUUAA